ACGUACACUCCUACGGGAGGCAGCAGUGGGGAAUAUUGGACAAUGGGCGCAAGCCUGAUCCAGCCAUGCCGCGUGAGUGAUGAUGGCCCUAGGGUUGUAAAGCUCUUUCACCGGUGAAGAUAAUGACGGUAACCGGAGAAGAAGCCCCGGCUAACUUCGUGCCAGCAGCCGCGGUAAUACGAAGGGGGCUAGCGUUGUUCGGAUUUACUGGGCGUAAAGCGCACGUAGGCGGACUAUUAAGUCAGGGGUGAAAUCCCGGGGCUCAACCCCGGAACUGCCUUUGAUACUGGUAGUCUUGAGUUCGAGAGAGGUGAGUGGAAUUCCGAGUGUAGAGGUGAAAUUCGUAGAUAUUCGGAGGAACACCAGUGGCGAAGGCGGCUCACUGGCUCGAUACUGACGCUGAGGUGCGAAAGCGUGGGGAGCAAACAGGAUUAGAAACCCCGGUAGUCCCAUG
rnacentral:rRNA from 1 species